rnacentral:rRNA from 1 species
GUGGCGACCGGGUGAGUAACACGUGACUAACCUACCUUUGAGUGGGGAAUAACUUCGGGAAACCGAGGCUAAUACCGCAUAACACCGAGAGGUCAAAGGAGUAAUCCGCUUAAAGAGGGGGUCGCGGCUGAUUAGCUAGUUGGUAGGGUAAUGGCCUACCAAGGCUAUGAUCAGUAUCCGGCCUGAGAGGGCGCACGGACACACUGGAACUGAAACACGGUCCAGACUCCUACGGGAGGCAGCAGUGGGGAAUUUUGCACAAUGGGGGAAACCCUGAUGCAGCAGCGCCGCGUGGAGGAUGAAGCCCCUUGGGGCGUAAACUCCUUUCGAUCGGGACGAUUAUGACGGUACCGGAAGAAGAAGCACCGGCUAACUCUGUGCCAGCAGCCGCGGUAAUACAGAGGGUGCAAGCGUUGUUCGGAAUUAUUGGGCGUAAAGGGCGCGUAGGCGGUGCGGUAAGUCUUUUGUGAAAUCUCCGGGCUCAACUCGGAGUCUGCAGGAGAAACUGCCGUGCUUGAGUAUGGGAGAGGUGAGUG